CCAAUGUAGUGCAAGCGAUGGGUAGUGCUUGCCAUAAAGAAGCUAGCCAGAAAGCAGGUCAGGCAGGCGAGCGAUAGUACAAGCAAGCUAACACGCGAGCGAGGUUGAAGGCCCACGGGUCAUGAACUUCUUUUCCCGAAGAAGAAGCAACGACGGUAUCUGGGGAAUAAGCAUCAGCUAACUCUGUGCCAGCAGUCGCGGUAAUACAGAGGAUGCAAGCGUUAUCCGGAAUGAUUGGGCGUAAAGCGUCUAUAGGUGGCUUUUUAAGUUCGUCAUCAAAUCCUAGGGCUCAACCCUAGAUAAGCGGUGGAAACUACCAAGCUGGAGUACGGUAGGGGCAGAGGGAAUUUCCGGUGGAGCGGUGAAAUGCGUAGAGAUCGGAAAGAACACUAACGGCGAAAGCACUCUGCUGGGCCGACACUAACACUCAGAGGUGGAGAUUCAGCCAAAAGCUGAAGAAGUGUCCAAACCACAGUCUCA
rnacentral:ncRNA from 1 species